AUUGAACGCUGGCGGCAUGCUUUACACAUGCAAGUCGAACGGCAGCGCGGGCUUCGGCCUGGCGGCGAGUGGCGAACGGGUGAGUAAUGCAUCGGAACGUGCCCAGUAGUGGGGGAUAGCCCGGCGAAAGCCGGAUUAAUACCGCAUACGACCUGAGGGUGGAAGCGGGGGACCGAAAGGCCUCGCGCUAUUGGAGCGGCCGAUGUCGGAUUAGCUAGUUGGUGGGGUAAAGGCUUACCAAGGCGACGAUCCGUAGCUGGUCUGAGAGGACGACCAGCCACACUGGGACUGAGACACGGCCCAGACUCCUACGGGAGGCAGCAGUGGGGAAUUUUGGACAAUGGGGGCAACCCUGAUCCAGCCAUGCCGCGUGCGGGAAGAAGGCCUUCGGGUUGUAAACCGCUUUUGUUCGGGAAGAAAUCCUCUGGGCUAAUACCCCGCGGGGAUGACGGUACCGGAAGAAUAAGCACCGGCUAACUACGUG
rnacentral:rRNA from 1 species